AGGGAGUUUGAUCCUGGCUCAGAACGAACGCUGGCGGCGUGCCUAACACAUGCAAGUCGCACGAGAAAGUGGACUUCGGUCCGCGAGUAGAGUGGCAGACGGGUGAGUAACACGUGGGUAACCUGCCCUCGAGUGGGGAAUAACUCAGGGAAACUUGGGCUAAUACCGCAUGACAUCGUGAGCUCCUUGGAGCAUGCGAUUAAAGGUGGGGAUCGUAAGACCUACCGCUUGAGGAGGGGCCUGCGUCUGAUUAGCUUGUUGGUGGGGUAACGGCCUACCAAGGCUACGAUCAGUAGCCGGCCUGAGAGGGUGAUCGGCCACACUGGAACUGAGACACGGUCCAGACUCCUACGGGAGGCAGCAGUGAGGAAUCUUGCGCAAUGGGGGAAACCCUGACGCAGCAACGCCGCGUGGGUGAUGAAGGCCUUCGGGUCGUAAAACCCUGUCGGGUGGGAAGAACGGGUAGCGGGCCAAUACCCCGUUAUCUUGACUGUACCACUNAGAGGAAGCCCCGGCUAACUCCGUGCCAGCAGCCGCGGUAAUACGGAGGGGGCCCAGCGUUU
rnacentral:rRNA from 1 species